CAAAACUAACCGAGCAUAACUAAACAAAACAUGAUCCGGACCACGGAUCGUGGCACACUUAUGUUCAAAGGGGUGACUCUACACUAAACACAGUAUUUCCAUAGCUAAUAUUACUUGCUAAUACUUACCUGUAGGACCUGUUGAGUAAAGUUAACAUGUAUUUGAGUACUUACCAUGAAUAUGUAGACAAAGUAACUGAUAUAAUACUGAGUAUGGGGAGGAUUGAAUGCAGUGCAAAUAUUGCAAAUUGGAAAGCUCCAAUCAAGAGAUAUCUGAAAAAUGUCAUGGCAUCACCAGCAAAGACCUCCUGAAGACUUUCAAUGAGUGCCUUGAGAAUUAUGUGCCUCGCCUGCUCAGACUGUACCGGGCUAGAAAGGAAGCUAUUGGUCAGCAAAUAGAAGACUUCCUGGAUAAGCUUGAUGAACAAACAUCAGACAUUGUGUCUCACCGAAAGAUGACAGCACUGAGAUGCCUCCCCGUUUUUGUCUGGGACGACACAACUAAGUGUGGAGAGACGCAGCCGACGGGCCGACAGCGGGCGGACAGAGGCGUUCUGGACCAAGAUGAAGGCCAGGAGGCGGGGCAUGCGGCGUGACGCACGCGGAGCGGCAGGAGGACGGCCAUCGGAGUCAGGUGCGUAGGACACACAUCUGCUCACAAUCUGCGCAUCUGCUCCUAGACUUUAAGAGAGGCGAAGGGGGCACGAUUGCGAGAGGGAAGACAGGAAAGGAAAGGAAACCAUGGCAGCCCGACCACGAGCCCGACGACAGAGAGCAGUCCGCAACGAGUCCCCGCCACAGACGCAGCAGGCGAACACCAAAGGGUGCAGAGCGACCAGGAAGAGGUGCCAGCGCACUAGAAAUGGGUGCGCCCGACUGGCCCGAAGAAAGGUUGUUUGAACCAAUAAAUGGGAAUCAAACCUGCUACGAUGCGUCGUGUGUUCAAUGUCACAGCAACCCACACGAGGACGGCUGGGAGUUUGUCACAUACGUUUUUCCUGCAGCAUUUGGAAAGUGACCCUGAAGAAAGAGUGCUCAGAGGCAUGUCUGUUGGCAUCCUUACAAUCCUUGAAGAAGAUGAUCCUGCUGUAUCACCCAACUUACGGGACUGGGCUGUUGUGUUGGAAGGUUCCAUGGUGCUACAUGACCUGCCAGACCUCGCUUGGCUCUCAGUGCGGCCCUGCGAUGAGGUGGCGACUUGUCCAGAGUGUACCCUGCCUGGCGCCCGAUUGUAGCUGAGAUAGGCGCCAGCGCCCCCCGUGACUCCAAAAGGGAAUAAGUGGUAGAAAAUGGAUGGAUGGAUGGGCUCUCAGUGCUCUCAGCGGACAAGGUCUCUGAAAACAAAGCUUUUGCUGUGACUCUUAAUGUGGAAGCCAACCUAUGUUUUCUGCCUGUUCUAGUGCAUUGUGGUUGGUGCUCAUAUAAAACUUCACGGCCAGUGAUUUAAAACAUGCAAGGCCACACGGAAAACAAUUAUAUUUAUUUUCAAAAUGUAUUUACAAUUAAGUGAGA